rnacentral:rRNA from 1 species
AGAGAACUACGAGCACAAACGCUUAAAACUCUAGGGACUUGGCGGUACCUCAAACCCACCUAGAGGAGCCUGUUCUAUAACCGAUAAUCCACGAUUUACCUCACCAUCUCUCGCCAACCAGCCUAUAUACCACCGUCACCAGCUUACCCUAUGAAGGAUACAAAAGUAAGCAAAACAAUAUAAAUCAUUAACAAGUCAGGUCAAGGUGUAGCUAACUGAGAUGGAAGAAGUGGGCUACAUUUUCUAUAUUAGAAAUAAACUCACGGAAAGGAACUAUGAAACAGUCCUAAAAGUCGGAUUUAGCAGUAAACUGUGAACAGAGAGCCCAG